UACGUAGGGUGCAAGCGUUAAUCGGAAUUACUGGGCGUAAAGCGUGCGCAGGCGGUUUUGUAAGUCUGUCGUGAAAUCCCCGGGCUUAACCUGGGAAUGGCAUUCGGGACUGCAAGGCUGGAGUGCGGCAGAGGAGACUGGAAUUCCUGGUGUAGCAGUGAAAUGCGUAGAUAUCAGGAGGAACACCGAUGGCGAAGGCAGGUCUCUGGGCUGACACUGACGCUCAUGCACGAAAGCGUGGGGAGCAAACAGG
rnacentral:rRNA from 1 species